rnacentral:rRNA from 1 species
AUUGAACGCUGGCGGCAGGCCUAACACAUGCAAGUCGAGCGGAUGAAGGGAGCUUGCUCCUGGAUUCAGCGGCGGACGGGUGGGUAAUGCCUAGGAAUCUGCCUGGUAGUGGGGGAUAACGUCCGGACACGGGCGCUAAUACCGCAUACGUCCUGAGUGUGAAAGUGGGGGAUCUUCGGACAUCACGCUAUCUGAUGACCCUAGGUCGGAGUAGCUAGUUGGUGGGGUAAAGGCCUACCAAGGCGACGUUCCGUGACUGGUCUGAGAGGAUGAUCAGUCACACUGGAACUGAGACACGGUCCAGACUCCUACGGGAGGCAGCAGUGGGGAAUAUUGGGCAAUGGGCGAAAGCCUGAUCCAGCCAUGCCGCGUGUGUGAAGAAGGUCUUCGGAUUGUAAAGCACUUUAAGUUGGGAGGAAGGGCAGUAAGUUAAUACCUUGCUGUUUUGACGUUACCAACAGAAUAAGCACCGGCUAACUACGUG